AAAAAAAACACUCAAAAUGAAUCAUCCCAAAGUUCUAGCAACCAGGAAACAGACACAGUAAGAUGAGUAAAAACAAGAAAUUGGUGCAAGGUUUGAAAGGCAGAAAGGAGGCAGCAGCUGUGACUGGAGAGCGCUACAGUGUAAGGUGGUGAGAGACAGCUGCAGAGGCGCUGGUGGGUUGGCUUUCAUCUUCCGUCUUUCCUGCUGCAUGCCUGGUGCUUCUUCCUGCCAGCUUUACUGACCAACAGCAACUCCAACCCCAUUACCGAUGCUCGGCUGCAAGCUCAGAGAAUGAAUGGGUUCACACAGCAACCCUGUCAAAGAGGUACUAUGAUCCAGAUUUCACAAACCAGAAUAUAAUUAUUAAGUAACUUCUCGGAGAUCACAGUGGAGGAACUAAGAUUCAAAUUGUCUUCUGACCAGAGCUGGGCUCUGAAACCACUCCAAGAAUUGAUCAUCAGCCUUAAACAAUCAGUUUUCUUUCCUUGUAAUAAACUGAGUUACUCAUCUAAGAAUGUCAACUUUGUCUUACUACCACUUGACUCAGUUAUUUUUUUCCCAAACAAUAGAAAUCCAGAGCCCAAACUGUAGAAAUUGGCAAUUUCCUUAUUUAAAAACUACUGUCCAUAACAAAAAGUCUAUUAACAAUACCCCAAAGCAGUUAAGAUUUCUACCUCAUAUAAAAUCAUAAACAUUUUAAUUCAAAAUGUUGACAUUUAGAAGAAAAACUACAUAAAAGCAAAUGGAUUUGAA
rnacentral:lncRNA from 1 species